rnacentral:tRNA from 5 species
GGGCCCGUGGCUUAGUCGGGAUAGAGCGUCGCCCUCCGGAGGCGAAGAUCGCGGGUUCAAAUCCCGCCGGGCCCGCCA